GUUCAUAACCCUUUGUUGUCCGACUCUGUUGCCUCCGGGGCGACCCUGCCUUCGGGCGGGGGCUCCGGGUGGACACUUCAAACUCUUGCGUAACUUUGCAGUCUGAGUAAACUUAAUUAAUAAAUUAAAACUUUUAACAACGGAUCUCUUGGUUCUGGCAUCGAUGAAGAACGCAGCGAAAUGCGAUAAGUAAUGUGAAUUGCAGAAUUCAGUGAAUCAUCGAAUCUUUGAACGCACAUUGCGCCCCCUGGUAUUCCGGGGGGCAUGCCUGUUCGAGCGUCAUUUCACCACUCAAGCCUCGCUUGGUAUUGGGCAACGCGGUCCGCCGCGUGCCUCAAAUCGACCGGCUGGGUCUUCUGUCCCCUAAGCGUUGUGGAAACUAUUCGCUAAAGGGUGUUCGGGAGGCUACGCCGUAAAACAACCCCAUUUCUAAGGUUGACCUCGGAUCAGGUAGGGAUACCCGCUGAACUUAAGCAUAUCAAUA
rnacentral:rRNA from 1 species